GAUGAACGCUGGCGGCGUGCCUAAUACAUGCAAGUCGAGCGAACAGAUGAGGAGCUUGCUCCUCUGACGUUAGCGGCGGACGGGUGAGUAACACGUGGAUAACCUACCUAUAAGACUGGGAUAACUUCGGGAAACCGGAGCUAAUACCGGAUAAUAUAUUGAACCGCAUGGUUCAAUAGUGAAAGACGGUUUUGCUGUCACUUAUAGAUGGAUCCGCGCCGCAUUAGCUAGUUGGUAAGGUAACGGCUUACCAAGGCAACGAUGCGUAGCCGACCUGAGAGGGUGAUCGGCCACACUGGAACGGGGACACGGUCCAGACUCCUACGGGAGGCAGCAGUAGGGAAUCUUCCGCAAUGGGCGAAAGCCUGACGGAGCAACGCCGCGUGAGUGAUGAAGGUCUUCGGAUCGUAAAACUCUGUUAUUAGGGAAGAACAAAUGUGUAAGUAACUAUGCACGUCUUGACGGUACCUAAUCAGAAAGCCACGGCUAACUACGUG
rnacentral:rRNA from 1 species